CCCUUAGAUGUUCUGGGCCGCACGCGCGCUACAAUGAUGAAUUCAACGAGUUUAUAACCUUGGUUGAAAAGCCUGGGUAAUCUUUUGAACUUUCGUCGUGAUGGGGCUAGACCCUUGCAAUUAUUGGUCUCCAACGAGGAAUUCCUAGUAAACGCAAGUCAUCAGCUUGCAUUGAUUACGUCCCUGCCCUUUGUACACACCGCCCGUCGCACCUACCGAUUGAAUGGUCCGGUGAAAUCUUCGGAUUGAGACUUUGUUUUCUUCACGGAAAACGCUGUUUUAAAAAGUUGAUUAAACCUUACCAUUUAGAGGAAGGUGAAGUCGUGACA
rnacentral:rRNA from 1 species